rnacentral:lncRNA from 1 species
CAUACAGCUGCCUGUGGACCUGAACCCGCUGAGAUGCCGGUGCCUGCCCCUCUGAGGAUGAGGCCCCCUCUCCCAAAAGUAACGUUCCUCGGGGUCAUGCAGUGAGCAUGGGCAAAGAGAACGGACGACAGUUGCGUCAGACACAGGAAAGAGCGAUUCACACAAAUCCAGGCCCACAGCGCCCCUGCGUGGAGCGCCCCUGUGUGGAGCGCCUGAGUAACGGGCCCCAGGCCCACAGCGCCCCUGCGUGGAGCGCCCCUGUGUGGAGCGCCUGAGUAAAGGGCUCCAGGCCCACAGAGUCCCCAGUGUGGAGCGACUGGCUCCAAAGGCUUGUCUGUUUGCGAACUCAGGCUGGUGCGUGGUAGGGUCUGAGUUCAGGGACUGGUUUCUAGGAACCUACGACCUGCGUGUUGAUGGCGGCAGGCCUCAGAGGGGAGGCUCCAUCUGGGAGGAGGAGAGACGAUACCUUCUGGGGGUCUUGGCACAGCUAUGGGAAGAGGAACAUGAAAAUAUCAUUUCUCACUGAGCUUGCCGAAUAAAGGUUCUCAUGGAAGAAUCGCUUUGAUGGAAAGGUGAUAACAGCAGGGCUAAGGUCCUUCAUUGUUGCAGCUAAAGAUCAACUUGUCUCUAUUCUGUUCUUUCAGAAGCUUCAGUGGCACCUUGUACAUCGAGCUAAACUUUAAAAGCAGUUCAAGUAUGUGUUUAUCCUUAGUUCAAUCUUGGAUGAACUAGAGUUGGACAGAAAGGAUUUUCUGUGCACAGAUAUGAAAAGAAUACAACCAACUGAAAUUACCUUUGGAAAUAAAUCUCUCACCAAUGUCAUUAAUGAAAGAAUGAGAGCUCCUAUUUCUGGGAAAAACAUAAUUUCAAGUAUGUUGCGUGGGUUUGAAAUGUCAUUGUCACCCUCCCUUCUGUAUUUUACUCUUGUGAAGUUACACUAGCAGAAGGCCUUUAACCUGUGCCAUAUAUGUAUUUUGAGUUCCUGGGUAACAAACUGCAACCUAAUUUAGUACUUAAGCACACAGACAUUGAACUUGGUAGUAUAUUGUUUUGUAACAGCCAGGUUUUAGCCAAUUGCAAGCCGUUGGACUUUAGCCAAUUGCAGGCAGCCAACUCAUCACAAGAUAGUCAGUGUAUUCAAUGGGUAUUACAGCACAUGGAAAUGAGAAGUAUUAUCAGUAUUUUUACAAAGAUUUUAACGUCUUUAAACAGACUUUUCAAAGCAGUAGUGGAAGAGAGAGAAAGCAAGAGAGUGCAAAAGACUGAGAGUGAAUUUGUGGAUACAGUGAGGAGGGAGACAGCAGCAUUUAAGGAUGUAUUGAGUUGAAUCGAACCUAUGCGAAGAUGUUUGUAGACAAUUGUGCUAAUGAAAAGAGAAGAAAAAAUAAAACACACUGAUGAAAAGAUUGGACCAUUACUACUGACAUCUUGCUAGACUAAGGCUUGAUUUGGCUUAAAUUUUAGUCGUGAGAAUGGUCAUUUUCCUCUCUGGAAACCAUUUUCAAAAAUUUGUGAGUAAGUAAAAUUUUCUGCUUUAUAGCCCAAGUCUCUUGCCCCAUCUCCAAAGCCAGGGAAGGAUGGAAGUGUGCUGGCAAGCACGUUCAGACUCUGCUCGGAGGACACGACACUAUUCUUAGUACUGCCGACUUAAGAGGAAUAUCCAUUGAAGUGAACCGUGUCCAACAGUUUUGAAACCAAUGUUUCUUGGAGCCUAAGGCCUCAAGUUCUGAGUAUUCAAAAUUUGUGACCUGGGGAUUGCAUUUGUCCAAAAGGAACCACCUUAUGUGACUCCCUGCAAGGCUCCUGAAAUAAAAAAAGAGGCCUGUCCCACCAGACGCCAUCAGCCCAGAGUGAAGGGGUCACUCUCAGGCCAGGUGGCCCUGACUGUCACUAGUUCCUUUGAAUUGAUCAAUUACCCACAUUAACGUGGAUCUAGGGAUAAAAUUGUGACUGAGUACUUCUCUUGCUCUUUAGCAAUACAAUUAUUUAUCAGUUUAACAAAAGUCACUUCCCCAAGUCUAUUUACAACUUUGAACCUCGGAAUCUCCAUCUCAGGGCCACCCUCAAAUAAAAUGGCUUCCCACCAAGUUUCCUCUCCUGCGGCCACUGGCAACACAAAUUUAUGCUACCACCCGAGGGGUCCAGAGAGCCAGCGCUCAUGGUGCUAUUACCGAACACCUGGGUUUUGAUUUUCCUUUGCUCCUCCUCAGCCAUGUCAGAAAAUUUAAUAAUACAAUAAACAUUGACAGUUGACAUAAAUUAUAGCUAUGUAUUAUCCCU